GAUGAAGAACGUAGCGAAAUGCGAUACUUGGUGUGAAUUGCAGAAUCCCGUGAACCAUCGAGUCUUUGAACGCAAGUUGCGCCCGAAGCCUCGGCUAAGGGCACGUCUGCCUGGGCGUCACGCAUCGCGUCUCCCCCAAACCGCCAAGGCGGAGGGGAAGGAAGAUGGCUUCCCGUGCCUCACCCGGCGCGGUUGGCCUAAAUUUGGAGCCCGCGGCACUUAGCUCUCGCGGCGAUAGGUGGUGAACAAGGCCUUGGCCGUGCAAACAACCCGCUGCGAAGCUCUAUGUCACGUGCGCUCGUCGGACCCUUUGAAGUUGCCUUCGGUGACUUAAAACCUUUGCGACCCCAGGUCAGGCGGGGCUGCCCGCUGAAUUUAAGCAUAUCAAUAAGCGGAGGA
rnacentral:misc_RNA from 1 species